ACUGAUUGAAGAAAUGAAUGGAUAACACGCUUGUACGAUGCUAGUUAUAAUAGUGUGUAUAUGAUAAUUUAUUCUGAGAAUAUAUUUAGAAUAAAAGUAUAGCGCAUGCAAAGAGAAUUCGGAAAGUAUAGUUAUAAAAUAACAUAAAUGAAGAAAGAAUAUAUAAAUAUAAGAAAGGAAAGAAUAUAUAAUAUAUAAAAGAAAAAGGAGAAAUAUACUGUACAAAGAAGCCGUAAAAAUAUCGAUAUGCUUUUUAUCGAGAUAUCGUUACUCUUGACACAAGAGAAUCGCCAUGCGCUUUUGCGUCGCGAAAACAGAACUCUUGUUUACAUAUUUCUUUACAUGGAAUCGCCUCCGUAAGUAGAAUGUAUUGGAUAAAUGUAUGUUUAUUAGAAUGCGUCUCUCUUGGGAUUAUUAAUAGUCAACCUUCAUGAAUAUUGAACGCUUAAGAAUCAAGAAUCUCGACGCAAAGUCACACAACUGGCCUAUCUUAGACAUUCACUUUGAACGCGCCAACGUUUUAAUCGUCUUAAUUACUCUGGAAAAUUUCAGGAUAGCAAUAUUUGAAGUAUUUUUGGUUGAAUUAUUUAUCGAUCGUUUUCGAAAUGAUAAUUUUAUAAAUAUAAUAAUUUAAUAAGUCUAUCGUUAGAAAAUUGUGCUUUCUCUUACAAUUAUCUCUUGAUAUCUUCUUUCUCACUUUGCUACGAAUAAAAGUCUUGAGAGAGAGAGAGAGAGAAAGGAGCUAAUAUUUUUUUUAUAUAAUAUUGUAUUUAUUUGAUAAUUUUAGAUGCUGUGUAAUCGUAAAAUCGACGAUUUCUCGGCGCUUAAAUGCUUGGUCGCGACAAACCAUCGUAUGCAAAUGAUUGGGGAUAUCUACUGUCGCCGGUGGUACAGCCGCACCGCGAGUCCGAGAAAGCUAGUAAAUUGACCGGCAGGAAUGCGCAUUCGCCGUGAUUGCGGCGGACACCUGCCGCCGCAGUUGUUGCACUUUGCACGCUUGAGGAAUGCACUGACGGGAUUCUCGGAGUGGACGGGAGAGACAUCGCGAGAGAUCGCGCAUUCAAGUGCAUUCAAGUUCAAGUAAUUUUUAUCAUCUUUUCUCAUUCAUGGUCGGCUGGCAUAUACGGUUUCCCGUUAGAAGGCCUUAGCAAUUGACCGGCGAAUGAAUGAUCGUAUUAAAUAUAUGUUCUUGUAUAUGGUUCCGGUGUAGUUACAAUUUCCGAUAAACAAUACAAAUUUGACAAUUAAGAUUGUUUUGUAAUAAUCUUAUUGAAAUUGUCACUACAGACUCGAAGAAACUAUACUAGAGUCAAGAAAUGUAUAAACAUGUGAUUAUUGUCAUAGCUUAUAUUUCGGAUUAGUUUAUAUUUAGAUAUAGGCGAUGUAUCCUUGGAAUUUCUCACGAGAGAAACACGCGGUAGGAAAGAGAGAGAAAGAGGCAGGAAUCAGGCGUAAAGAUUCGUGAGAGGCAUGUGACUCUCUGAUCUUGCGUUUUAUAUUGAACGAUCAAAGGUAAACCGGUUGCGCGUUCUGAAGAGUGAGACAAGAGGAAAGAGGAAAGCAGCCAAAUGAGAGAGAGAGAAAUUGCCCGUCCUCUUGAAUUCAACGCAAGUACAUCUCACAUUCGUGAGUAUCUCAUCAGUGUGGGAAGCCAUCGUAGAGACGAUGUAUCUCGAAUAGUAACAAAGUAUGUGAGUGAAUCGUGAACAUGAUCAAGCAAAUUUAUUCAAGGGAAUAAUUUUGAAAGCGACAGAACAUUUGCGCUUUUUUGCGUAAUUAUAAGAUAUAAAAUAAAUUGCGUUAUGAAGUAUAUAGAGAGAAUAUAACGAUAUCGAGAGAAAAAUGUUGAAAAUGAUUCAAUAACAAUUUGAAUUCUAUAAAAAAAUUAUGUGAAUAAAUGUCCAAUAUCCGAAAUUUGCUUUAUGCAAAUUUGCAACUAUAUUAUAUACUGUUAGUCUUUUUCUAUGACAAGGACUUUUGAAUCGAUGAAAAAUUUGCAGCAUCAAAAAUUCGCUAAAAUAAAAGGACAACUAAGCAUCAACGAUAUCAAAUGCCCAAGAAGACCAGGAAGAGAUUCAAGAUUCAACAGAGGCGCUGUUAAGUUAUUAAUCUUUCAUAUCACGCACAUGAGCUAAGCAGAACAAAAGUAUGACAGUGAGAGCGCUGAACAGGUGUAACAUUGAAGAAAGAUACGAAUACAUGAUCGUUAAGGAUAUACGCCGCUAAAAAUUGCCUCCUCCAAAUAAACUAUUUAUUUCGAAGCUACGUUAAAUAUCGUACAUUUCCGUAAGAGUUAAAACUCGAAUUCGCGCUUUACUUGCGACCCAAUCUCGAUAAACAUCGUACGUGUUUACAUCAAGUCGUUCUAUAUUUAGCGCGCUAUUCCCAAGAAGUCGGGCUGAGAAGCUUAAACGGAAACACAGUUAAUAGGAGGAGACUCUCAGCCAUAAAGUUCAAGAAGAACGUUUACCAUUGGAAUUCCGUAACAUAAUGAUGUACCGUGAAGAGAUCUUAUUACGAAAGCAACGAGUCGCCAACUUGUCUCGCGACGAAGAAGAGGCAGGAGGAAGAAAAGGAGGAGGAUGGAGGAUGCGUCACGCAUAGUUUGACUUUGAUGGAAAGAGCCGAAACAGCCGGCGAAAAGGGUAAGAGGAGGAGAGAGAAAAAGAGAGACGCAGCCUCUGAACGCAACUGCGUAGGCGAAGGAGACGGAGAACACGAAGAGAGCCUGUUAGUCCGUCUCCACGGCUAAUUUACCUCAAUUUACGGAAUAGUGUUUCCUGUCGGGGCUCAGUAUAUCGGUCAGGUCGUAAUGCCACCAAAAUUCUCGGAGAGGGAGAGAAAGACAAAGCGAGACGUGCCGUCCGCUGUCACUCUACAAUUCCUCAUAGUAAAUCAAAAGACUAAAAAGCCGAACAGCUACUAGGUGGCCGAAACUGCGAAAUGAUAGGAUGAAUAAAUAACUAGUACAAUAGUGGCUAUUCUUUUAUAGCUAUAAAUGAUAUAUUAUCUUUUGUAUAAGAAUCUAAUGAAGCCGAUUAUGUAUAUCAAGUAAGUAGAUGACGUCCGUUAGAUCUUCAUGACUACUCAGCAAAUGUUGGCUAUCAGAAUCUCAAAGAAGAAGUAUUAUUGAAACUGAUUAUAAAAAUUAUUUUUUUAACGAAUUUGAAAGGCAAUUAGAAUUUCUAAAAAAUACAGAGACAAUUGCGGAUCUCAAUCGAAAUUAAUAUAAGAAUACUUAAAAGUGUACUCUAACAUUUACAAGCGUUAAGAAGAAUUACGACGACGGCCGUUAACGGUGAUGAAUCGUCUCAUGAUUCACGAUUUGUGUGACGGAGCGUCUAUUAGAUGAAGCGUCUCUAGACAGACCGUCGCCGUUUACCGCCGGCAUAGAGGAGAUACAAUAAUAAGAACGGGAAUUGAACGAACGUCCAAAUAUCGACGAGUGACAACUCAUCUUCCGAAUGAGAAAGAUACAAAAAGGCAGGAUGGAGAAGUCAAGGAUCAAAGAGGACGUCCGGAAUAUUCUCCUUCUGCAGGUAGAACAAAUACUUGGGACUUUUUCGGCGAAGGGGAUUAAGGAUCUUCUAAUUAGAGGGGUGUAAAUGGCUACUCUUAUCGAUGCGGCUCAAUCUUGAAAUCUGUGACACAGAGUUCGGUCAAACCACUUUACGAAAAUCUCUAAAUUUACAAUGGAACAGUAAUUAGGUCUCUUUCCAACGAGAAGAUAACAUUCUUGGAGAUAUUGGUUAUCGUGAGAUGAAACCUGCAUAAAAGAAGCAUCGGUCGAUAAUGGGACCCCUUGGUGAGCCCACUUGAACUCUCCGAGGAGAUCCUUAGAAAUGAAUCGUGGACAAUUCGCAGCAUGAAAUCGACCUCUUUCUUUCCGCCAAAGCAGCCGCCGUCCUGUGAGCAAAGGAAAGGUAGUAAGAGAGAAGUACCCUUCCUUCGCGGUAGACUUGAUGCCGAGAAGAGGAGGAAGGGGCUCUAAGUAAUGCCUAAUGCCUCUACUGUGGGCGGCGAGAUGCGAAGAGGGACGCGAGAGGAGAAUGAGAGGGAGGGGGAGGACAUAAAAAUUUGUUUUGUUUUUUCGUUCCGACGGUCGCAUUCCAACGGUACCAGAUUGCCGGGGCCUCCUCGACUCUCGGGGUGGUCCCAAAUAGCUUUUGGGACCGUCUUGGAACGUUCUGUGGCGAGCCAUACGUUUUUGUUUUUUACGCUAUGCCGCCGCGCUGUACCUUCCCAUCGCCUCCCCCUCCGCGUCUCCUUACAUGUAUGUAUAUGUUGUUUCCAUAUGUGUUUUCAUAUAUGUACAGACAGUAAGAUACCGAGAGAGUGAGAGAGAAAAAGAGAAAAAGGGUAGAAUAAAUUUCAUGAACGUCCUUUUAAUUCCUGAGAUAAUAAAUCCUUUGAAAGCGUAUUAAAUUUUUGCCAUCACUCAAUUCGACACACGACUUUGACACAUGAAUCAUCUUUUUUUUUGUUAAAGAACUAGAAUGACACGAUACUCUGAUAAACAUAUGUGCGCAUCAUAAAUGAAAAAAGAGGCAGUAAAAUAUUCUCAUAUGGCAUACUCCUCUCUCUUCUCUCUUGAUCAGAUCCGUUACAUUUAAUUCCGUCGCGGAUCUCAUCCAUCUCUAGAAUCCAGCGUUCUAAUCUUCAUUAUUCGUAGCCAUGCCAUUCUCCCUCCGGGCCGUCGGCUGUCCGCGCGAAGAAGGAAGAUUAUACGGGAGGGAAGUGGGAAAAGGGAGCAAAAGGACGCGGGACGAGUUCGGGCCCUCAAGUUGAGACAUUUUAACCUGCCCGUGGCUUCGCGCGAGGAAAGAGAGAGAUAGAGAGAGAAAGAGAUACUUAUUGACUCGUCUUUCCCAGGGGGGUAUCCCACGAUGGUAGGGGGAGACGAGCAGAAACUUUGUACAUAAGAUAUACGAUGGCGAACACGUGUGUAUCUGAAUUAAUCCUACCCGUCCGUUUUUCGAUUCCCCUGCAUCUCUAUGUUUCUUUCUCACUAUCUCUCUCUCUAUGUUUGACUCGUGUACGCAAUGAUUGGCGACUUGUUAUAGAUAUUAUCGGAUUUAUAUGCAUGCCGCAUUUUGCGUCGAAUAUUCUAGAAUGUUUCUCACCGACGUGAGGACGACAGCGAAAUAGAAAACCAGACAUACGUACAGAAAGGAGAGAAGAAGAAAGAGGAGGAGGAGGAGGAGGAGGAGGAAGCAGUAACGGGUUUCCGAGGAAUCUGAUGUUCCCUCUUCCUCUUUCCUUUUUUCUCUUAUCUUAUUCUCGCGAAAUAUAUCUCGUUCCUUGUUUCAAAUCGAUUCCUUGUAUCAUUCAUACCGUGAUCUGCGUCAUGAAUCGAAAGGAAAAGAAAAAAGAAAAAGAAAGAUAGAGGAAAGAUUUUAUCUUAAAUUUUUAUCGAAAGUUGUGUGGAAUUUUGAUUUAAUUGCAAAAUAGAUAACGACAAUAUAAUCCUAAAUUUUAUUUUGUAUUGAUUAUUGUCAAGAACGUGUGUUUCUCAUUCUCCUCGUGAUCUCAUCCCUCAGGAAUGUACGCGGAAAAGUAUUCUUGUUUUCUUAAUCUUAUCGAUUUCUCUUUAAAGGAUUUCCACUUUUCUCAGGAAAACAUUUUUGAAAAUGCCUGAUAUCACAAGGAAUUUGAAAAUUGCGAAAAGAUGCUUGAGUAUAACGUCAAGUAAAAAGAAAAAAAAAAUAGACUAUUAAAUCGAUCUAUUCCCUGUGUAAAAUUAUUUUUAAAAUUGAAAACUUUAAAAGGAAAACGACUUAAAACUUGUUAUAUUUUUUAUGUUUUUGUACGUUAAUUUACGUAACAUAUAUUUAUAUUCUCAUUAGUAAUACAUCAGCUAAUUACUUCUUUUCCGAAACAGCACAAAGAUGUCACGCGUCAAAUAAAUCACUGCGCAUUUGAAUUCGUGAUUCGAAUGUCGACGGGUGAAUGAACGCGGGGAAGGUAUCAUUUUAUUUGUGAGAUAAAUGUAUCCUCUGCGAUAGAACUUUUAACCAGCAUAGGUUCUUCGAUGAAUCUGGCAUAGAUUCUUUUUUCUCAUUAAUAAAAAUCUGAUAUGACUUUCUUGCAAUCUUCUAAAAUUCAAUAUUGAUUUGUUUAUACGUUUUCUGUUUAUAUGCUUAUAUGUUCUUUAAAGUGAAGUAUUGAUGAAAUUAAGAUAAAUAAUCGUUUCUUGAGUUUAAUUUGCGAGAAAAUUUUUGUCUCUCAUUUGUUUAUGAUUAAGAAAUUUUUAAGUUAAAUUUUUAAAUGAUUAAGAAAUUGAUUGAUGUUUUGUGAUUUUAAUUAACUGGAAAAGUCGUAAUUAAUUAAUCGAAGGAUCUAUCUAUUUCCAAAUACUCUACAUUAAUGUCUAUUCUUUUCGAUAGAUUUCUGAAAUUUGAUU